rnacentral:tRNA from 2 species
GCGGGUUUAGCUCAGUUGGGAGAGCGUCAGACUGAAGUUAAACUUCAAUCCUCACCAAAAUCAAGUGAUAUCUGAAGGUCGUGUGUUCGAUCCACACAAACCGCA